AGAGUUUGAUCCUGGCUCAGGAUGAACGCUAGCGGCAGGCCUAACACAUGCAAGUCGAGGGAGAAGCCCUUUCGGGGGCAGAAACCGGCGCACGGGUGCGUAACGCGUAUGCAACCUACCUUUCACAGGGGGAUAGCCCGAAGAAAUUUGGAUUAAUACCCCAUAAUAUUAUUGGAUGGCAUCAUUUGAUAAUUAAAACUGCGGUGGUGAAAGAUGGGCAUGCGUCCUAUUAGCUAGUUGGAGUGGUAACGGCACCCCAAGGCUACGAUAGGUAGGGGUCCUGAGAGGGAGAUCCCCCACACUGGUACUGAGACAGGGACCAGACUCCUACGGGAGGCAGCAGUGAGGAAUAUUGGUCAAUGGUCGGAAGACUGAACCAGCCAUGCCGCGUGCAGGAAGAAUGCCUUAUGGGUUGUAAACUGCUUUUAUAUGGGAAGAAUAAGGCGUACGUGUACGUUGAUUACGGUACCAUAUGAAUAAGCAUCGGCUAACUCCGUGCCAGCAGCCGCGGUAAUACGGAGGAUGCGAGCGUUAUUCGGAAUCAUUGGGUUUAAAGGGUCUGUAGGCGGGCUAUUAAGUCAGGGGUGAAAGGUUUCAGCUUAACUGAGAAAUUGCCUUUGAUACUGGUAGUCUUGAAUAUCUGUGAAGUUCUUGGAAUGUGUAGUGUAGCGGUGAAAUGCUUAGAUAUUACACAGAACACCGAUUGCGAAGGCAGGGGACUAACAGACAAUUGACGCUGAGAGACGAAAGCGUGGGGAGCGAACAGGAUUAGAUACCCUGGUAGUCCACGCUGUAAACGAUGGAUACUAGCUGUUUGGCGCAAGCUGAGUG
rnacentral:rRNA from 1 species